UGCUACUGCUGCAACUGAUGAUCAGGAGUUAGAAGGUAACAAAACUACCUUCCUACGGACUGCUGAGACUUUUCUGCGUCUGCUUCCUAUUGGUCUUUGUGUUUCAGCUCUUGUCCUUAUGCUUAAGAACUCUGAAGAAAACGAUUAUGGUUCUGUUUCUUACACUGACCUUGGUGCUUUCAGGUAUAUACAUACUAGUACUAUGUAAGAAAACAUUAUUUCUACAAAUAGAUAGAAACUAGCAAUUGUUAUGUGUACAUAUUUCAUACAAUUUGGCUCAUGUUUAUGAAUGCUAAAGUAAGAUAUGUCACUCGUUAUAAACUAUGUGGUCAAGGUUCGAUCGCUUAUCUACUGGUCAUAUUCGAUCACCGACUCUUUUUUGUGUAGAAAAUUCAGUUGGGACAAAAGAAUUGUCCUUGUGUUUUGAAUGAAUUCGCCGAUAGAGAUUACUUACCGCUGAAGAGCAGUAAAAAUUUUGUGCAUGUUAUAUAACAUCAUAAAAAAUUAUAUAACUUGUAAAAUGAAAAUAAUACAAUAAGCAUAGAGAAGUGCUUGAGUCACUCUUUAAACACACGCUAACAAGUUAUUUUGGUUACCGUGUAUGUAUGGUAUCACGAUGGAUAUGUCAAAAAGUCACAUGACUCGCUGUGAUUUUUCAAAAGGUAUACUCAUAACUUCUGCAAAAUCACCGUGUUCACCGUGAUACCGGCAUAUUCACUGAUACAAAACUUAGGCUAAAUGGGUAAUUUGGAUGUAACAAACAUGCAUGUUGGUUGUAGGUAUUUGGUGAAUGCAAAUGGCAUUUGUGCAGGUUACUCCCUACUUUCAGCUGUCCUUAUUGCUGUCCCUCGACCCACUGCUCUCCGGGCUUGGACUUUCUUUUUCCUUGACCAGGUAAUUAGGUUCCUUCACUUUUACUAAAUCAUCAUUAGUUCUUAAAAUUAUAAAUAUAGUUUAAUUUAAUCUUUUAAAUUUGUCAAAUAACAAUUUAUUUUCUUAAGUUGAACAACUUUUGGUCAAAUCUGUUAUUUUCUAGUUACCUUCAUAAUUUUAAUGGUUUUAUAACAAGAGACUAUUCAAGUUAAUACAAAAUUCUGUCAUCGGUUUUGAUGGAUGUUGAGAGACUAAGUGUAUGUUUGGUAUUACGGCGAGGAUGUCAGAAUCACGGUGAUCCACCGUGAUUUGGCAGAAGCUACAUAGUGUUAGUUUUUGAAAAAUCACAGUGGAUCACUGUGAUUUUGACAUACCCACCGUGAUACCAAACAUGAACUAAAUUGAUUAACUUUAUUUAAUUUAAGAUACUAAAUUAAUAGUUGCUUUUAUAAUUGGUAUAUAAUGUGAAUCUAGGGAAUUCAUUAUAUUUUCAGAGGUACAUGUACACGGCCGUGCAAUGUUUUUGUCCUCAAACUAGUUUUAUGAUCAAUGGAUACAUAAUGAAAUCCAAAAUUAGGAAUAUGUAAGAACUGGCUGAGUAAUGAUAUAGAAAAUCUUUGAAAAUUAGGAAAGUUGUAAUUAGUUCAAUAUGUUCUUGCCCUGUUCCAAGAUUUGGCCUAUCAUAGGUUUUGUACCUCAAAUCACUGAAUUGAGGAUACCUAUGGAAGAUCACAUCUAGGUAAGUUUGGGCCUUUAAUAGGAAAGGCUGGAUUUGAAUCUUGGUCUAUUUUGGACAGCUGGUAUAAUUAUUUAUUACCAUCCUAGUUAUUGAUCUUGAUCCAAAUUAAGGUACAUUUGGACAUGCAUGAAUAAUUUGAAUUAAGUUUUUGUUAUCGAAAUACUAUGCGUCGUUAGAUCAAUAUCCAACUAUUUGUAUUUGAAAUUGUAUCUAGUGACGUCAAAAUACAAGUCAUUUUAUUUGAUCUUAAUCUAACGACUACUUCUCUAUUUCAACUUUCAGUAAUGUGUGUUUGUGUUUAUACGUAGAAUGAUUUUACCAUAUGAAACUCAAUAAAUUAACAUCUCAUACUAGAUAGCGAGCCCAAACAUAUUUAUUUUUUGACAAAAAUGAAAUUAAACUUGGGAUUUCCUUAAUCUAUAAUUAUCGAAUAACAAAUUAGAAAACAAAUUGAAAUAUGUUUCUUUGCUAGGUACUAACAUACAUAAUUUUGAGUGCGGGAGCUUCGACGAUAGAGGUUGUGUACCUAGCUAAGAAUGGAGACAGUGCAACAUUAUGGAACUCAGCUUGUGGCUCUUUUGGUCAAUUUUGCCAUAAGAUUACAGCUUCAGUAGCUAUCACAUUUGUAGCACUUGUUUGCUAUGUGCUUCUUUCCCUCAUUUCCUCCUAUAAGCUGUUCAGCAAAUUUGAUGUCCCAGCAAGUAGUCCUGCUGAUACAGGCACUGAUGACCACAUUGCUCCUGCAUUCCAUGGCUAGCUUACCCUAAUGUUUGUUGUGUUAUAGGAUAAUAUUUGGUAAUUAUUUUUCUAUGUUUUAUGACUCAAUAGACAUGGCUAAAAAUAUUAAAAAUAUGUAUAAUUAGACCUUUGUUUAUUUUAGAUAUAUGGUUAUGGAUGGCUUUAACUUGUACAAGGUUUUAUGCUAUAUAUCCGGUGAGGCUACUGAUUAAGAAAUUUACAAAUAAUUAAUUAGCUCACUUAGAAUCAAGUGUGUGCAUAUGAACGUGGAUGCGUGUGUGUGGUUUAUAAAAAAAUAUGAUAGCAAGUUCAAGCUUCGUACAAGACAUUUAAAAUGUUAAAGAAGAUCCUGAUUAGAACAAAUUUGUUUUGUUAUGAAUUGAUGACAUUUUUUUGUUAUAUAAUAGAUUCAGAAGUAUGAACAUAAAAGCAGAGAUCAGCAGUAUGAAUGUGGAGAGUUUGAAAUUAGCUUUGAUGAUGAACAAAAUCAUCAACAAGAAAAUUGGGUGGUGAAAAGUGAAAAAUGCAGAUGUUUUGUAGUGUUAAAUCUAUAAAUAUAAGUCAAACUUAAUUGUGUCAAUACUAUUACAGCAUGUCAAAUUACUAUUGGUUAAUACAUUUUAAUGUACCAGUACAUCAUAAUCUUUAUAUUGUGCAGGAUUUAUUCUCUUUUCCUUGUCUAUUCUCUAGCAAACCAAACAAAAAGCAAAAUCCAUGAGGGAAGGACUACACCCUUUUUGGCACAAACGGAACUUUUCGGGCUAAAAUCUAAAACAAAUUAUUAUUAAUUAAAGUGACAUUAAUGAUCAUUUUACGACUAUUCCUGAGGGAUUUGAACACUGUCACUUGAAGUUACAAAGUUAGACUCUUACCACUAACCUUCCACUUCAUGGACUAAAAACCGGCAACUAAUUAUGCUGAAUAAGUUAAAACAUAACAAUGAAUUGCUCUUACUCACCUUGGACUGGUAUGGUAGGCCUAGUUGUAGAUAUUGCAGCUGAAUUAUCAACACUUCAAUUUAUCCAAUUUAGGACUGUUGAUUGUUGCUGAGAUGUUUGAAUUGUUUGGAAGAGGCGAAUGCUCAAAUUUAGGCUUAGAAGAUGAUAUGUAGACAGCUUCCUGAUACAAAUCCUGCCUGAUAUACACAACUUUCUCUUCAACCCUAACAAUUUCCUCUUCCAAAAAUGCCACUUCAGCCAGAAGUGCUAGUAUCUACAAUUUUUUCGACAUUACAAAAACUCAGCACUUAAAUUUCUUCUACAUAGUCCCUUCCUUUCCAACUUAGUAAUAGACAAAAGUACUAAUUCAGAAAAGUACUUAAAAUAGUUAAAGAGAUUCAUUUACUAACAUAUGGAGGUAGAUAAGGAGGAAGACGAGGUAAAGCUCCUAAAGGUCUAUUAAAAGCUCUCUCCAAUGCCCUAUGAAUAUUCUCCUCAUGCUUAAGCUUCUUCUUCAACCUAUCUACCUAAAAUUCAUAUAAUUCAACUCGUUUCAAAUUAUGACCAAUACAAGGAACUGAAAAACUUGAAACAAAAAUAGUAUACAUUAUACAAUACAUACAUCUUGUUGCAAUGCCAACUUUACUUGCAUUUGUCAAGCUUCCUUGCAUCAUCUACCUUUUCAUUCAAAACUAAACAAGUUAGAAUCCAUCAAUACAAACAAAACAAAAAAAUCAUGAACUUUGUCUACUAUUGAAGCCAUUUUUCAAACACAUAAAGGACAAGAAUGCACACAUUUUUCAAACUUCUGAAUUAUAGCAAAUUUAAUCAAAUUUUCAAGUUCUAUAUUUAAUCAGAAAAUCAUCACCGAAACAAACUCAAUUGUUAACUUUUGGUCAAAUCCUGACAUGAACAAGAACAACAGAAUCUACUUUGAAGAAAUACAAAAAUUGAAUGAAGUUCAACUCUAAAUUAUAUACAGAAAUUCCCUCUAGAUAAAAAAUUAUAUACAGAAAUUCCCUCUAGAUCAAAGAAUUUGUCCGAAGAACUCAAUGAAUUUCCAAAACAAUAUCUCACUGGACAACUUAAUUGAAAAUGAAUAAAUAGAAGUUGAGUUUCAAUUUGAAAAGGAAUGGAAAUUGUAAAAAUAUAGAAUCUGGAGAAAAGAGAGAAAAUAAACUUAUAAAUCGCACAUCUAAACUUAUAGAAUGGAAAUUGAGUUUCAAUUUGAACUUACGAAGGAAUUCAAAAUUCCAGAAGAAAAAGGAAUUCAAAAGUCCAGAAGUGAAAAUCGCACAUCUAUUCUUAUUCCAGAGUUGAAGGUUCUCGCGUCGCCGCCAUGCUAGAGGAUCUGGUCGGCAGAGAGAGGCGCAUCGGAAGCAUAUGAACAUAAAGGCAGAGAUCAGCGGUAUGAAUAUGGAGAGUUUGAAAUUAGUUUUGAUGAUGAACAACGGGCGGUGAAAAGUGAAAAAUGCAUAUCUUGUGUGGUGUUAGCUACAAAUAUAAGUCAAACACAAAUAUAAGUCAAACUUAAUACUUGCGGCCUGUCAAUGCAAAUUAUUAUUCGUUAAUAUAUUUUAAUGUAUCAGUACAUCAUAAUCUUUCUAUUGUAUUAUAGAUUAUAGAAGUCUGCUUUUUUAAUUUGUGCAAUUUGUCCGAAGUUACUUACAUUGUGGUAUGGAGGAAGUAAUAGAUAAUUAAUUUAAUCAUAUCAUUUAUUUAUAAAUCUUUUUUUUAAUAUAAUUUAUGUAUGUGAUCUUAUGUGAUCAUAACUGGUGGUCGACAUUGUGCACAAUAAAAGUUUGCAAAUAAGUUUUAAGAUAAGACAAUAAUGCACUAUUUUAUGAGUUAUUAUUCUUAUUUCUUCUUUCUCCUAUGUUAAUUUUUAUAUAUUUGACUAUUUCUCUUCUUUCAUGGACUUCAUCAUUACAACAUCGCCGGCCACUGCCAUCUCCAUCACUGGCGACCGCCGCCGCCAUCCCCGUCUCCAUCACAGUCGUCUUUCCUUCAUCAUUAUAGAUUCACCGACGACGAUUUCAGUCUCUGGUCGGAGUUGUUAGCAAUUAUAUUUGAUCUUAAACUUGCUUGAAGUCUUGAAUUCAAGAAAGCGGUGUGAACAUAGAUAACAUGGAUGCAAUUGAGGUUCUAAGAAACGAGUUCAAACAACAACCUUCCAUUCAAUUCCAUGUCCAAGCUUCAUAUAUUGUCGGAUACUAUAUAACAAUUCAGAUAUAUGAAUUGAUGGUAUGUGUGACUGUUCAGAUGAUGAUGAUGAUCAUAAUAAUAAUAAUAAUGAUAAUAAUAAUAAUAAUAAUAAUAAUAAUAAUAAUAAUAAAAGUAGAUUCCUGUAAGAUGAUAUGUCAGAUAUGUGGUUGUUCAGUUAUAUGAGUUGUUCAGAUAUAUGAGUUGAUAACUCUUCAGAUAAUAUUUAUAAUAAUGCAAAAAGGACAUUCUGUAAGAUGACAGUUCAGAUUCUGUAAGAUGACAGUUCAGAUAUGUGACAUUCCUGCAAAAAGGACAUUCUUGUUGCCUCUUCAGAUAAUAUUUAUAAUAAUGCAAAAAUGACAUUCCUGUAAGAUGACUGUUCAGAUCCUGUAAGAUGACAGUUCAGAUAUGUGACAUUCCUGCAAAAAGGACAUUCUUGUUGCCUCUUCGGAUAAUAUUUAUAAUAAUGCAAAAAGGAUAUUCAUGUAAGAUGACUGUUCAGAUCCUUUAAGAUAACAGUUCAGAUAUGUGACAUUCAUGCAAAAAGGACAUUCUUGUUGCCUCUGAGUCAUCAAAUGAAAUGACGAGCAUAAACCUCGGCGAUUUGGAUCCUAUCCUUCUUUUUUCUCUUCUUUCUAUCUCUCUUAAUUUCAUUCUCUCUAUUCAUUAAAAAUAAUAAUAAUAAUAAUAAUAAUAAUAAUAAUAAUAAUAAUAAUAAUAAUAAUAUAAUAAAGAGAGAGUAUAGAUUAAGAGAGAAAUAGAGAAUCAAGGAAAAUGCAUACUCAUGUCCUGCCAUAAUGACAUUGAUUGCUAGUUCAGUCUCUCCAUACCUAACCUCCUAACCUGCCUCUACUAUUCUCCACUCUCCAUACACUUCUAUAAUACCACCCCAUUGAUUUCCCUCAAAAGCUCAAACACUACUUACUCAAGUACACAUACAUGCUUCUCUUCUCUUAUGAUGAGACCUGUUACUGCUACUGCUGCAACUGAUGAUCAGGAGUUAGAAGGUAACAAAAUUACCUUCCUACGGACUGCUGAGACUUUUCUGUGUUUGCUUCCUAUUGGUCUUUGUGUUUUAGCUCAUGUCCUUAUGCUUAAGAACUCUGAAGAAAACGAUUAUGGUUCUGUUUCUUACAUUGACCUUGGUGCUUUCAGGUAUAUACAUACUAGCUAGUACUAUAUAAGAAAUUAUUAUUUCCACAAAUGGAUAGAAACUAGCAAUUGUUUUGUGUACAUAUUUCAUACAAUUUGGCUCAUCUUUAUGAAUGUUAAAGUAAGAUAUCUCACUCGUUAUAAACUAUGUGGCCAAGGUUCGAUCGCUUAAGUAAAGUCGUCAUGUUUGAUCACUGACUUCCGUGUAGAAAAUUCAGUCGGGACAGGAGAAUUGUCCUUGUAUUUUCAACGAAUUU
rnacentral:lncRNA from 1 species